GUGCUCUCUUUGGCAGCAUGUAUAUUAAAAACUGGAAUGAUAACGAGAUUACCAUGGCCCCUGCCAAGGAUGACAUGCAAAUUCACGAAAUAUUCCAUAUUUAA